rnacentral:rRNA from 2 species
GCCGUUAAACCCCCAACUUCUGAAAAUUUGACCUCGGAUCAGGUAGGAAUACCCG